GGGCAGGUGGAGGUCGUUAGCGUGAGCAGUUCACCUAGGAGAGCAAACUCCGAUUACAAAACCGGGCAGGUGGAGGUCGUUAGCGUGAGCAGUUCACCUAGGAGAGCAAACUCCGAUUACAAACCCGGGCAGGUGGAGGUCGUUAGCGAAAGCAGUUCACCUAGGAGAGCAAACUCCGAUUACAAACCCGGGCAGGUGAGGUUCGUUAGCCGUGGUAGGCAAUUCACCUAGGAGAGCAAACUCCGAACAAUAAACCCGGGCAGGUUGGGCUCGUGAGCCGUCAUAGGUAAUACACCUAGGAGAGCAAACUCCGAACAAUAAACCCGGGCAGGUGGAGCUCGUCAGCCGUGGUAGGCAGUCUGCCUAGGAGAGCAAACUCCGAACAAUAAACCGGGGCUUGUGGUGCUCGUUAGAUGUCGUAGACAAUCCACGUGAUGGGAACACCAAAGAAAAGGAAAAUAAAAAGGAACACCAGAAAAAGGAAAAUAUAGUAACAAAACAUCAAGAAAAUAAAAUAAAAAACACAGAUCAUCCACCUUCAGGCCCUAACAUCUCCAAAAUUAUGGGUGAGUCUUUUCUGGGGAGAAAGAGGCUCAUCCAGACCAAAGAACAUCAAAAAGGGAUGAUAUAGAAAGGAACACCAAAAAAAUGUGAAAAAGAGAAAAAAACAUCGCAAAAGAAAAGUAACAACAAUAACAGAACAACGUCAAGAAAAGUAACAUACAAAGAAACAUCAUCCACCAUUCGGCCCCAAACUAACAUCACCAAAAUUAUGGAUGGGUCUCUUCUGGGGAGAAAGAGGCUCACCCAGACCAAAGAACAUCAAAGAGGGAUGAUAUAGAAAAGAACACCAAAAAAUAAGGGAAAAAAGAGCAAAAAAACAUCGCAAAAGAAAAGUAACAGCAAUAACAGAACAACAUCAAAAAAGUAACAUACAAAGAAACAUCAUCCACCAUUCGGCCCCAAACUAACAUCACCAAAAUUAUGGGUGGGUCUCUUCUGGGAGGAAAGCGGCUCACCCAGACCAACGAAGAACACCAACAAGAGGAUGAUAUGAAAUAAAAGAACAUUAAAAAACACGAAGAAAAGAAAUAAGAAGAAAAAGAACAGAAAAAACAUCGGAAAAGAAAAACAAGAAGAAAAACACAUCAAGAGAAGAAAAAUAUAAGAAACAUCAUCCACCUUUCGGCCCCUAACUAACAU